CAGGUGAAAGCUCCCUUUUAGGCCUUGAGACAUGGAUUGUGUAUGUGUGCCGUUCAGAGGGUUGAAUGGGCAAGACAAAAGAUUGCAGUGCCUUUGAACGGGGUAUGAUAGUAGGUGCCAAGCGCACCGAUUUGUCAAGAUGCACAUCAUGUGCACAUCGAUCACUCUAGUGUUAAUUUGCUAAAUUGAAAUUACUUCGCUACUAUGGCCUACUUAUUGCCAGACACCGUAUAUAGACUUUUCUCUAUUGUUGACUGUACUUUUGUUUAUUCCAUGUGUAACUCUGUUGUUUGUGUCGCACUGCUUUCCUUUAUCUUGGCCAGGUCGCAGUUGUAAAUGAGAACUUGUUCUCAACUGGCCUACCUGGUUAAAUAAAGGUGAAAUAAAAAAAAGAACUGCAACGCUGCUGGGGUUUUCAUACUCUAAUGUUUCCUGAGUGUAUCAAGGAUGGUCCACCACCAAAAGGACAUCCAGCCAACUUGACACAACUGUGGGAAGCAUUGGGAGUCAACAUGGGACAGCAUCCCUGUGGAACGCUUUCAACACCUUAUAGUCCAUGCCCCGAAGAAUUGAGUCUGUUCUGAGAGAAAAACUGGGUGCAAAUCAAUAUUAGGAAAUGUGUUCCUAAUAUUUGUACGCUCAGUGAAAUAAUAAUUUCCCCACCUAACUGAAAUAAUGUACAUUUUCUUCCAGGAUAGAAAAUACACACUCUCUUCAAGUAGGAGAGAAAGCCGUCACACUGGCCUGUCCUUCUUCUCUGCCUGACCAAGUAAUACAACCCCUCCGACCUGCAGUAAAUUUCCCCAUUAUAUAACUAUGGGCCCAACAAACUCAGUUUCCUCAACCCUGCUGUCUAACCCUUCUUCCAUAACCCUGUCUUACCCAGUGCUUCACCCAUCCUUCCCAUUCAAUCCCCUGCCCACAUUGCCUCCUGAUCAGCCUCCCAGCCCUGGUAUCCAUGUUACUUCUCCCUUGACUACAGGCCCUUCUGUCCAUCCUCCCCUGGCUCAGCGUCUUCAGGCCUACCCAUUCUAUUAGUAUUACUACCUCCACAAGAUGCCCCUCAGUGAGUCAUACCAGUCACCCCUCUCCUCUAGUCCCCCCACUCAACUCCCAACUACAGGCCACACUGAGUUGAAGCGUGGCCACACUCCUAUCCCAAGCCACCCCAACUACAAUAACCCCCAUUUUACUCAGUAUUCUUCCACUACAGCUGGUCAUCCAGUUCACUCUGAAGCCCCCACUCUCCGAACCCCUGAGUAUACUCUCCACCCAUACUAGCAUCACCCCAAAAUCCCUAUGCUUGAGCCACCUCAAGGGCCCAGUCCUGGUGCCAAGAUGGGUACUUCCACCAAUGGUCCUCAGGUUGAACCACCUGCCCCUCACACCCCUAACCCGGUGUUUCCACACUACUACCUCAACCACCCCAAAGUGCCUCCCAACCCACCCAACUCCCUCAGCCUGAUAGCCCUGCCUCUCACUCCUCUACUCUCCCUGUUAGCAGUUCACAAACACACCGUAGAACUCCUGUUCCUCAUGUGCCUCACCCUCCACCCUAUCCUCACUACUACACCCCACAAACACCCAGUGGUGAAGUCAAGAGAUCCCAUCACCCUGUGAAUGACCCUUUUAUUCAUCUUCAACCUUUGAAACCUAUCACUUCCCCUAACUCAUCUCCCACCUUAACAGAGAUCCCAUUCUACCAAUAGACUCUUAAUUUUCCCUACAAGCCUCCACUGAUCCAGAAACACAGAAUUGGUCUCCAGACCAACAAUCCCUCUAGACCCACGGACGAACAUCCUCCAGUUGUCCCAUCUCCCCCUGCGUCGUCUCCUGAUCAAAGUGGAAAGUCACACCCUCAUGGUCACCUGAAAUGGCCUCCACAACAACAGCCCUCCAAUUCACACACAAGCCCAGAGUCUGUCUACCAGUUCAACCUCUGUUGCCCGUGCUGCAACCCAACCUCUUCUCUUUCCAAACUUCCCCCCGUUGUACUACCUCCAUCUCAAAUCACCCAUCAGCAACCCUCAACAAGAACAAACCCCUGUUACUGUCCUCCCCACUGCUCCGCCUGCAUCCUCUUCAACCUCUACUCCAGCAUCUGGCCAUCCAGUUUAUCCACACUACUGCGAUCACACAUACUAUUACUACUCAAUGCCUUAUGAUCCAUACAGAUUACCCCAACCUGUUGAUCAUGCAUCUUCUGCCCCAUCGAAAGGAGCUCCGACUCCUCCAUCUCAGACCUCUGCUCCUCACAGUAUGGAGACUUCUCACCAACUAGCCCUUCCAUAUGACUACGCCCAGGCCAAAAUGCCUAUCGAGAUUACUACCCAACCUCUGCCUUCUCCUGCCACUAACAGUCCUCAAACCUCCACUCCAACCCCAGAAUCUACAGCUCCUGAAAUCCCACCUUUUCCCUUUGACCCUUACUACUUCUACUACCAUCCUGGAAUGUCCAUCUACGACCAGGACCAAAGCUAUGAUCCCAGUACACAUGCCGAAAAGACAUCAGGGCCUCAAGCUUCCCUAGAUUCUGACCAUUAUAGAAGGGGAAGAUUUGCCCACACUCCUGUGGCGAGUCCAACCCAUGCACCCCAUCCUACCACCAACCCCAUUCAUAACCCCUCACACCAUCACAUCAUUCAUCCACAACCUUCAACCAUUCCUUCCCCUCAUCGUCCCAACCCAGGGCCCCUGGAGAUCUGCUAGACACAGUGAUGAAAGGUUGGAGUGCAGGUCUUCUCCUGAUUCUCCAGGGAGGGUGAGGUACCAGAUGAGCACUACAGCAGCUUCUACUCAGAGAAACAUCGACCACUCAGUCUACUUCAGGGGCGACCUCUGCACCUGGAGGUGAGUCUGCUGAGCCCCCCAGACAUGGACCCUGGCCUGGUGCACUACUGUCUGGCCUACCCAGACACACCACGGGCCCGCUGGCUGCUCAUCUAUGAUGGCUGUCCCAGCCGUGGUGACGCCCAGGCUCCUCCCCCACCCCGCCACACCCGGAGGCUCACAAUCACCACCUUCCAGUCUUUACCCACAGGAAGUCACUCCCACCUGGAGGGCGAGGUCAGUUUCAGCCAAUGGGGUCAUAUUAUAGACAGAGUUUGAUUCAGUGCAUUUGAAUGUGUUCUCCUGUCCUCGUCCACAACAGCUCUACUUCAUGUGCUCCCCAGCAGAUGGGGACUGUAUUGAGGGUUGCUUCAGUGGUUGAAUUAACACUCCUAUAAUGGCUUGGACAAUUUGGAGCACAAGGUGGGAGUAUAAACCAUCCAUUUCUUGAAGUUAUUAUAAUGUACUGUAUUAAUACUGAAGUGCUCAAAUGUACUUGUUUCUUACAGUAUUCAACUUGACACUCAUGUCUAAGUGACAUUAACUAUUACUCAUUUGUAGGAUCAAACCUGGACAACUGAACAAAUACACAUUUACUCACAAUUGGUCAAUGAUUUGUUCUCCUCCAGCACUUAUUCAGUCUGGCAGUAAGCACAAUGACAUCAGACAAGAGGGGAUGAAACACUUUAUAUUAACAAAAAGCUCCACAGUUGGUGCAGAAUCUCAGUACAAGAAGUGUCACUACAGACCCUGGUUCGAUUCCAUCACAACCGGCCGGGAUUGGGAGUCCCAUAGGGCGGCGCACAAUUGGCCUAGCGUCGUUAGGGUGUGGCUGUCUUUGUAAAUAAGAAUUUGUUAACCGACUUGCCUAGUUAAAUAAAAAAGAAA